rnacentral:rRNA from 1 species
CGGCGCCACAAGUGGUGAUCAUUUUUAUUGAGCCUAAAGCGUCCGUAGCCGGACUAGUAAACCCUUGGGUAAAUUGGGCAGCUUAACUGUCCAAAUUCCGAGGGGACUGCUAGUCUUGGGACCGGGAGAGGUCAGAGGUACUCAAGGGGUAGGGGCUAAAUCCUGUAAUCCUUUGGGGACCACCAGUGGCGAAGGCGUCUGACUAGAACGGAUCCGACGGUAAGGGACGAAACCCUGGGGCGCGAACCGGAUUAGAGACCCGAGUAGUCC